rfam:Bacteroidetes bacterium GWA2_32_17 gwa2_scaffold_21239, whole genome shotgun sequence.
AAAGCAGACUGUUCUAUCGCACUGCAAAUACGGUGAGGAAAGUCCGGGCAGCACAGAGCAUCACGCUUCCUAACAGGAAGAUACUUGAAAAAGUAUAGCUAUGCAACAGAAAAUAACCGUUCCGUCCCGAUGUAUCGGGAGCGGAAUAAGGGUGAAAAGGCAAGGUAAGAGCUUACCAGCCACGUGGCAACAUUGUGGGCUGUGUACCUCGUGAGUUGCAAGACCAUGUAUACCAGUGUUUGAGGGUUGCUCGCCCGAUGCUGGAGGGUAGGUCGCUAGAUUCCGAAAGUGAUUUCGGAACAAGAUAAAUGAUAGAAAUUUCGGUUUACCGAAUUACAGAACCCGGCUUAUAAGUCUGCUUUUUUU